rnacentral:rRNA from 1 species
UACAGAGGUCCCGAGCGUUGUUCGGAUUCACUGGGCGUAAAGGGUGCGUAGGUGGCUUGAAAAGUUUGAUGUGAAAGCUCAGGGCUUAACCCUGAAAUAGCAUUGAAUACUGUCGAGCUGGAGGUUUGGAGGGGGGACUGGAAUUCUUGGUGUAGCAGUGAAAUGCGUAGAUAUCAAGAGGAACACCAGUGGCGAAGGCGAGUCCCUGGACAACACCUGACACUGAGGCACGAAAGCUAGGGGAGCAAACAGG